CACCGCGGUUAUACGAGUAACCCUUAUUAAUAUUUUCACGGCGUAAAGAGUGGUUUAAAAAAAAUCUUAAAUAACUAAAGUUAAGACCUUAUCAAGCUGUUAUACGCUAUUAUAAGUAGAAUUAUCGACAACGAAAGUGACUUUAUAAAAUUAGAAAUCUUGAUUCCACGACAGUUGGGCCC
rnacentral:rRNA from 1 species